rnacentral:lncRNA from 1 species
UUAGUAAGAGGGAGAGGGGGGUUUUCUCUCCAAAAUCCCUCUCCUAAAUUCAGCAAAAUUAUAAGAAGAUUUGAGGUUAAAUCGUUGCAUGUUUGAAGAUACUGAAUCACUAGUAUCGUCAACACCCAAGGCAACUCAAGUGAGGGUUUGGGAAGCUGAGCCGGGAAGGAAGCAUGUCAAGGGUGACCUCUAAGCCUAUACUUGAAUAUCAUUGCAACCCUGGAUCUUGCAUCGUUCGAAGGUGCUAAAUCACAGAGUUGUUCAAGGAGAUAUAGCCUCUUUCUCUUCAACAUUUCCUCCAUCAGCAAUGGUUUUUUUUUCACGCCAUGUUGGAUGCAGUCCUAUAAAGUG